rnacentral:rRNA from 1 species
UACGGGGGGAGCAAGCGUUGUUCGGAUUUACUGGGCGUAAAGGGCGCGUAGGCGGUCAGCACAAGUCAGUUGUGAAAUCUCCGGGCUUAACUCGGAAAGGUCAACUGAUACUGUGCGACUAGAGUGCAGAAGGGGCAACUGGAAUUCUCGGUGUAGCGGUGAAAUGCGUAGAUAUAGGAAGGAACACCAGUGGCGAAGGCGACCACCUGGACUGAUGCUGACACUGAGGUGCGAAAGCGUGGGGAGCAAACAGG